CCUACGGGGGGCUGCAGUGAGGAAUAUUGGUCAAUGGGCGCGAGCCUGAACCAGCCAAGUCGCGUGAGGGAAGACGGUCCUAUGGAUUGUAAACCUCUUUUGUCGGGGAGCAAAAGACGCCACGCGUGGCGUUCCGAGCGUACCCGAAGAAAAAGCAUCGGCUAACUCCGUGCCAGCAGCCGCGGUAAUACGGAGGAUGCGAGCGUUAUCCGGAUUUAUGGGGGUAAAAGGGUGCGCAGGCGGAAGAUCAAGUCAGCGGGAAAAUUGAGGGGCUGAACCUCUUCGAGCCGUGGAAACUGGUUAUCUUGAGUGAGCGAGAGGUAUGCGGAAUGCGUGGUGUAGCGGUGAAAUGCAUAGAUAUCACGCAGAACUCCGAUUGCGAAGGCAGCAUACCGGCGCUUAACUGACGCUGAUGCACGAAAGUGUGGGGAUCGAACAGGAUUAGAUACCCUGGUAGUC
rnacentral:rRNA from 1 species